AGAUGUGAGGGCAAUCUGACUGUCACCCAUGGAUCGCCAGGGUUGGUUCAGCUGGGCCGGCUGGCUAGGUGGGUGUCCCCUUCUCCUGUCACCACACCAUGUGUGUCCCUCCCAAAGCUGUGCUCAGUCAAAGAGGACGGCCAUCCCCGAUAGAGGAGUAGCUGUGAUCCC
rnacentral:snRNA from 1 species